rnacentral:rRNA from 1 species
UCUACGGGUGGCAGCAGUGGGGAAUAUUGGACAAUGGGCGAAAGCCUGAUCCAGCCAUGCCGCGUGUGUGAAGAAGGCCUUCGGGUUGUAAAGCACUUUCAGUGGGGAAGAAAGCCUUGGGGCUAAUACCCUCGAGGAAGGACAUCACCCACAGAAGAAGUACCGGCUAACUCCGUGCCAGCAGCCGCGGUAAUACGGAGGGUGCGAGCGUUAAUCGGAAUUACUGGGCGUAAAGCGCGCGUAGGCGGUCUGAUAAGCCGGUUGUGAAAGCCCCGGGCUCAACCUGGGAACGGCAUCCGGAACUGUCAGGCUAGAGUGCAGGAGAGGAAGGUAGAAUUCCCGGGGUAGCGGUGAAAUGCGUAGAGAUCGGGAGGAAUACCAGUGGCGAAGGCGGCCUUCUGGACUGACACUGACGCUGAGGUGCGAAAGCGUGGGUAGCAAACAGGAUUAGAUACCCUUUAGUC